rnacentral:rRNA from 1 species
UACGAAGGGGGGCUAGCGUUGCUCGGAAUCACUGGGCGUAAAGGGUGCGUAGGCGGGUCUUUAAGUCAGGGGUGAAAUCCUGGAGCUCAACUCCAGAACUGCCUUUGAUACUGAAGAUCUUGAGUUCGGGAGAGGUGAGUGGAACUGCGAGUGUAGAGGUGAAAUUCGUAGAUAUUCGGCAAGAACACCAGUGGCGAAGGCGGCUCACUGGCCCGAUACUGACGCUGAGGCACGAAAGCGUGGGGAGCAAACAGG